rnacentral:tRNA from 1 species
AGAGUUUUAGCUUAAAUAAAAGUGUCUGUAUUGCAGGCAGAAGAUGUAAUAGUUGCAGACUCU